rnacentral:precursor_RNA from 14 species
CCUUUUAUUCAAAGUCUAGAAAGGUCCGAGAGCCUAUCCCGGAACGCUAUCGGUUGCACUUUUCAAAAAACCGAGCUGCCCGGGGAUAGACUCUUGGCUUCAGAAAGACAUUAUUUUAUUAUGC